GUUUUCGUAAAAGGUUAAUAUUUAGAACGGUGCUGUAUUAUACAUCUACCAGAUGAAUUACUCUACCGCGUCGUUUCGAACGUAUGUUUCACUGUUCUUAUUCAGAUAUCAGCCAACAGCAAAGAGCAGCUGCUCUUUUAAGGCAGGCAGCAGAUUUGUUGAAUGUCAACACAUGUGACAGGAGUACACAAUACCAGCACCUGCACCAAUAACCUCUGUCAGUAGCAAUAGUGCUGCAAAGUCAAUGUUUGCACCCGUCAGUAAUAGAAGGAGGCAUGGAUAUGCAAAUACAGGAACUGUGGCAGUGUCAGCACUGGACUACAUGUAUUACACCCAGAUGUAAUCAGGUUCCUGGUUACAACUAAUGACCACCUGUUGAAGGAGCUAGACGUUACCAGGGAGAGACACUAGCACAAUGGUGAAUCAGACUAACUGGAGCUACAAGCAGCUUAAGAAAAACCUUCAGGGACCAGUCUUAAUGUUCUGAUAAUAAUAAUAUAGUGUGUUAUGUGUUGUAUUGCUAAGAAUUUUGGCUACUCUGUAUCCAAUAUCUAAAGUGGUAUUUUAUUAAGAUUUAGAAAAAAAUAAGGCCAAUCUUAAUAAGAAAUAUUCUGCUAGUUGGAACAUAUUGAACUGUUUAUUCAAUCAUGCAGCAAUUUGAUGUUUUCCAUUUUUGCAUUUGACAUGCUUGAGCUCAACAUAAUAUUAGAGAAAUUGAUUUGUUUCACAUUAUUUUACUAAUCUUGCAAUGAUUUUACAAGAAUCUUUUUCACACAUCUUGUAGAUUGGUAAGCAGAUAUGUUCUUGCUAGAUUUCAAUGGUGUAGUUUUUUAGUAAAAAAUUCUUGCCUUUCUAUUUUGUUGUGCUGAUAUUUUGACAUUAGUUAUAAUUUGUUUGCAGUGAACAGCCUUGGUUAAGUAGACCUGGUACAUGUAUUCAAUCAAAUUGAGCCGCGUUCUGGGAACAUUGGCUGUAUGCAUGUGUGUGAAGUGUCGUCCGAGAUAAGCUUAUGUGGUCCACAGAUCUUUGUUAAGACAGGACCCUAAAUUCAAGCAUUUAAUGAGGUUAUGUGCUUUUCCACACUUAUUCUAUGUCUUUUAUAAGUAAAAGGUUAACACUAGCAACAAUAUAAUUUGCUACUAAAAAUGUUUUUCAUAUAUAUUACUUCUUUAACAUGAAAGAAGUUAACAUGUGUAAAAAAAAGUUUGGCUAACAAAAUGAUGGGUAUUAAUUUCUUUGUGGUUUUAUGCAUUUAUUUUACACAAAUUAUAAAACCAUGAUGAAGUAUAUGCAAUUAACAAAUAUAAAUCAGUUUAUUUAUUGUGCAUCCAGGCAUUUACAUAUAACCAGACAGUAGUGCAAUCUCACAGGAAUAUGUAGGUUUUUAACUUAUAUUGCACCAGUGUAUAGAUUGUUUUGAAAACAAUUGUAUGAUCAUGUUAAAGUUGCAUAUGUCUAGUCAUAAGCAGUAUGUGUGGGAUACACUAGCAACAGGACCAGAGAGAUCAUUUCGUUUUCAGAUGAUGUUUAUGUAAUGUGUGUUUCAUCGUAAUAUUUAUUUAACCAGUAUGCCAUGUAAUACAAAUAUUUCCUAAUAAAAUUGUAAAAAAUGUUA